CAAUUCUUAGAUUCUUAUUCUUACCAUUUUCAAUUCAUUUCUUUUUUAUUUAUUAAUUUCACAACCAACAGUAAAACACACGCAAACACCACCCUCAUCGUACAUUCUUGUUUUUCUCAACAAGUCCACAAACCUCAAAUUACAUACUUGUCCAUUUCUCAACACUUCAUCAUCUUCAUCAUCGUAAUCGAAUACCCAAACAAAAAAGCAACACACAAAAUCACAUUUCAUCUUUCAUUCAUCAAAUCAAAUCAAAUGCUCAAACUUUCACUCUCUCUUUAUCUCUUUCCUUCUUCACAGGGUAGUUUGUGA